rnacentral:rRNA from 1 species
GGGGAAUAUUGCACAAUGGGGGAAACCCUGAUGCAGCAACGCCGCGUGAGUGAUGAAGGCCUUCGGGUUGUAAAGCUCUGUCUUUAGGGACGAUAAUGACGGUAUCUAAGGAGGAAGCCACGGCUAACUACGUGCCAGCAGCCGCGGUAAUACGUAGGUGGCAAGCGUUGUCCGGAUUUACUGGGCGUAAAGGGAGCGUAGGCGGAUACUUAAGUGGGAUGUGAAAUACCUGGGCUUAACUUGGGUGCUGCAUUCCAAACUGGGUGUCGAGAGUGUUGGAGAGGAAAGUGGAAUUCCUAGUGUAGCGGUGAAAUGCGUAGAGAUUAGGAAGAACACCAGUGGCGAAGGCGGCUGUCUAGUCUGUAACUGACGCUGAGGCUCGAAAGCAUGGGUAGCGAAC